CACCCCUUACAGACUCACACACUUUAUCCCUUACAUACACAGAAACACACCUUGCAGCCCUUACACAUACAAACACAGAUUCACUCAAUGCAUUCCUUACACACAAAUCAGGACAUCCCCUACACACUCCACCCCCUGUGAACAAACUCAUUGGUGGAACAUGAAGGUGGACCCUGGGACCCAGACCUUGAGCUGUGUAAAGGGCCCCCCCAAAAAAU